GGGGAUGAUCGGCCUAGACAAUUGGACGUUUCGUCCAUGUUGCAAAGUAGAGCUGUAGUAACUCUUAAAAAGGCUACAAAAACUAACUGCAAAAACAGUUGCAAAAGCCAAGGGAAUUCUCUCGCCAUACAUGGCGGGCUUCCCCGCUUUCGCUUACGCGCGAGCCUAAGCGACAUUCGACCGGCUGACUUCCGAUAAGUCGUCUCGGGUGUUAUACAUUCGGAAUAAGAUUUGUGUCGUUCCGCCACAAAUCCCAAACUAAGGAACUCGGUACAUUUUGUAUUUUGCUUGUUUAGAGCAAAACGGCUUAAAAAAAUAAACAACCUAGACUUUGUAGACGCAUGAACACUCACCUUUUGCACGCGCGUUCGAUUCGCGCCAUCUCCACAA
rnacentral:tmRNA from 1 species